rnacentral:rRNA from 1 species
CAGUAGCCACGUGAAUACAGAGGGUGCGAGCGUUAAUCGGAUUUACAGGGCGUAAAGCGUGCGUAGGCGGCUUCUUAAGUCGGAUGUGAAAUCCCUGAGCUUAACUUAGGAAUUGCAUUCGAUACUGGGAAGCUAGAGUAUGGGAGAGGAUGGUAGAAUUCCAGGUGUAGCGGUGAAAUGCGUAGAGAUCUGGAGGAAUACCGAUGGCGAAGGCAGCCAUCUGGCCUAAUACUGACGCUGAGGUACGAAAGCAUGGGGAGCAAACAGGAUUAGAUACCCCCGUAGUCCCUGUCUCUUAUAC